rnacentral:rRNA from 1 species
UCGGCUAACUCCGUGCCAGCAGCCGCGGUAGAGGAGGAUGCAGUGUUAUCCGGAAUUAUUGGGCGUAAAGCGUCUGUAGGUUGCCUAACAAGUCUGUUGUUAAAGGUUAAAGCUUAACUUUAAAACUGCAGCAGAAACUGCUAGGCUUGAGUACAGUCGAAGUAGAGGGAAUUUCCAGUGAAGCGGUGAAAUGCGUAGAUAUUGGAAGGAACACCAAUGGCGAAAGCACUCUACUAGACUUUUACUGACACUCAGAGACGAAAGCUAGGGUAGCAAAUGGGAUUAGAUACCCCAGUAGUCCUAGCCGUAAACGAUGGAUACUAAACAUUGCGUGCAUCGAUCCGCGUGGUGUUAUAGCUAACGCGUUAAGUAUCCCGCCUGGGGAGUAUGCUCGCAAGGGUGAAACUCAAAGGAAUUGACGGGGGCCCGCACAAGCGGUGGAGCAUGUGGUUUAAUUCGAUGCAACGCGAAGAACCUUACCAGGGCUUGACAUAAAGAUUUGUCCUUUUUGAAAAAUUUGUGAUUUCUUUACAGGUGGUGCAUGGCUGUCGUCAGCUCGUGUCGUGAGAUGUUGGGUUAAUUCCCGCAACGAGCGCAACCCUUAUUUUGAGUUAAUGUUUCUAAGAAUACUGCCGGUAACAAACCGGAGGAAGGUGAGGAUGACGUCAAGUCAGCAUGCCCCUUAUGUCCUGGGCUACACGCGUGCUACAAUGGGUAAUACAAUAAGUUGCAAUCUCGUAAGAGCUAGCUAAUCUUGAAACUUAAUCCAAAGUUCGGAUUGUAGGCUGCAACUCGCCUUCNU